AGAAAAGUAAGCUAAAUCAAGCUAAUGGGUUCAUACCCCAUAUAUAGAGUAUAACACUCUCUUCUCUA
rnacentral:tRNA from 3 species